rnacentral:rRNA from 1 species
CCCUUAGAUGUUCUGGGCCGCACACGCGCUACACUGAAGGAGGCAGCUUGUACUCCUGGAUCGAAAGAUUUGGGUAACCCGCGAAUCUCCUUCGUGCUAGGGAUUGAGGUUUGCAAUUAUCCUUCAUGAACGAGGAAUUCCCAGUAAGUGCAAGUCAUAAGCUUGCGCUGACUACGUCCCUGCCCUUUGUACACACCGCCCGUCGCUACUACCGAUUGAAUGAUUUAGUGAGGACUUCGGACUGGGACCGAUGCGGCUUUCGGGCUGCGUCGGUAUUCUGGAAAGAUGUCCAAACUGUAUCAUUUAGAGGAAGUAAAAGUCGUAACA